UCUCAGUGGUGUUCCUAAGGGAACAGAGAAGAAUUAAAAGUCUCACUCAAGAGAGAUGAAUGACGGCAGAGGAUCCCGUUUUCUUUGCUGCCUCACCCUGCUGGCUUCCCUCACCCUGCUGUACCCUGCCUCUGCCCUCCCUGCCAGCACCAACAGAACCCCUAGAACCACAGCAGGAGUCACUCACCUGUUCGGCAACCUCUUUACCUACGUGUCCUCCCUUCUCAAUCUCAACCCGCUGACCUCCACCACCGCCACCACCGCCACCACCACCACCACCACCUACGACUCUCUCACGGGCUGUCCCUCUGGCUGGCUGGCUGGUCUGUGCUCUCUCCUUCACCCAGCGCGACAAGGGUUCGAGAAAUCCAGACAGCUUGAUAUCGUAGUAGUAGAAGAGCCGAGGUUGUGGUGAGAGAGAGAGAGAGAGAGAGAGAGAGAGAGAGAGAGAGAGAGAGAGAGAGAGGGUAGAAGUUACUAGGAUG